AUUGAACGCUGGCGGCAGGCCUAACACAUGCAAGUCGAGCGGAGCGGCGGACGGGUGAGUAAUGCCUAGGAAUCUGCCUGUUAGUGGUGGAUAACGUCCGGAACCGGGCGCUAAUACCGCAUACUAUCACAUGAGCCUAGGGCGGAUUAGCUAGUUGGUGGGGUAAAGGCCUACAAAGGCGACGAUCCCUAGCUGGUCUGAGAGGAUGACCAGCCACACUGAAACUGAGACACGGUCCAGACUCCUACGGGAGGCAGCAGUGGGGAAUAUUGCACAAUGGGCGCAAGCCUGAUGCAGCCAUGCCGCGUGUAUGAAGAAGGCCUUCGGGUUGUAAAGUACUUUCAGCGGGGAGGCGUUACCCGCAGAAGAAGCACCUGCUAACUACGUGCCAGCAGCCGCGGUAAUAC
rnacentral:rRNA from 1 species